AUACUUACCUGGACGGGGUCGAUGGGCGAUCAAAAAGGCUCAUGGCCUAGGCCAGUGGCCUCCAUUGCACUUGGGAGGUGCACUGGCUUACCAUCUCCCCAAGUGGGAGAGUGGACGUCAUAAUUUGUGGCAGAGGGGGUACGCGUACGCGCGGCCCCUAC
rnacentral:snRNA from 15 species